AUUGAAUGCUGGCGACAUGCCUUACACAUGCAAGUCGAACGGCAGCACGGGUGCUUGCACCUGGUGGCGAGUGGCGAACGGGUGAGUAAUACAUCGGAACAUGUCCUGUAGUGGGGGAUAGCCCGGCGAAAGCCGGAUUAAUACCGCAUACGAUCUACGGAUGAAAGCGGGGGACCUUCGGGCCUCGCGCUAUAGGGUUGGCCGAUGGCUGAUUAGCUAGUUGGUGGGGUAAAGGCCUACCAAGGCGACGAUCAGUAGCUGGUCUGAGAGGACGACCAGCCACACUGGGACUGAGACACGGCCCAGACUCCUACGGGAGGCAGCAGUGGGGAAUUUUGGACAAUGGGCGAAAGCCUGAUCCAGCAAUGCCGCGUGUGUGAAGAAGGCCUUCGGGUUGUAAAGCACUUUUGUCCGGAAAGAAAUCCUUGGCCCUAAUACGGUCGGGGGAUGACGGUACCGGAAGAAUAAGCACCGGCUAACUACGUG
rnacentral:rRNA from 1 species